AACGAACGCUGGCGGCAGGCCUAACACAUGCAAGUCGAAGGAGAAGCCAUCUUCGGAUGGUGGAAACUGGCGCACGGGUGAGUAACGCGUGGGUAUCUACCUCGGGGUGGGGAAUAACCGCUGGAAACGGCGGCUAAUACCGCAUACGCCUUAAGAGGGAAAGCUCCGGCGCCCUGAGAGGAGCCCGCGUUGGAUUAGCUUGUUGGUGGGGUAACGGCCUACCAAGGCUACGAUCUAUAGCUGGUCUGAGAGGAUGAUCAGCCACACUGGGACUGAGACACGGCCCAGACUCCUACGGGAGGCAGCAGUGGGGAAUAUUGGACAAUGGGCGCAAGCCUGAUCCAGCCAUGCCGCGUGAGUGAAGAAGGCCUCAGGGUUGUAAAGCUCUUUCACCUGCGAAGAUGAUGACGGUAGCAGGAGAAGAAGCCCCGGCUAACUCCGUG
rnacentral:rRNA from 1 species